GAUCCUGGCUAAGGAUGAACGCUAGCGGCAGGCCUAACACAUGCAAGUCGAGGGGCAGCACGGUGUAGCAAUACACUGGUGGCGACCGGCGCACGGGUGCGUAACGCGUAUGCAACCUACCCCAUAACAGGGGGAGUAACACUGAGAAAUUGGUACUAAUACCCCAUAACAUCAGGACCGGCCAUCGGUUCUGGUUGAAAACUCCGGUGGUUAUGGAUGGGCAUGCGUUGUAUUAGCUGGUUGGUGAGG
rnacentral:rRNA from 1 species